rnacentral:tRNA from 1 species
GUAGCCGGCGCAGCGUUCAGUGCGCUCACCUUUCCAACAGUCGACACAUAUAAUAAGUAUGCCCCGGCGUGCCGAAACGCCGCGGCUGCU